rnacentral:lncRNA from 1 species
GUUCAGUAUGGCUAUUCAGCAAAGAGAAAACAUUCUUCAUCUUCUGAACUGCUCGGUUGCCUGAGGCAAAUGAGUUCUGAAGGUGCCUGGGCUUCUCUAUGUCUCCAGGCUUGCAUCACACACCAUUGAAGAGUCACAAAGGGAAAGGAUUCUGAGGGUGGGGAGAGAAGACUUGAGGAGGUUGUGCCCCUCCUCCACCUGCCCACCAGCCAGCAGAUCCUUCUGCUCAGGUCUGUUGUUCCAUUUCCCACUCGACUCUUUCCUCAUAUCAUGCCUUCAUUAUCUCAGGGAGCAUUCCUGUUUGUUUCAUGUGUAACCAAGAUGUUUUACAUGAGUCCCUUUUUACUGUUUGGAUCCCUUGACUUACACCCCACCAAUUCCACUGCCUUGAAAAUCUGACAUACACUGCCUGGAAUUUUUGCUUGUACCAAGACAUUUACACUCUUGGGUCACCUACAUCCUUAAAUCUAUCUUAUCUACAGAAAGCUUUUGCUUUACUCUAACUCACAUGUAAAACUUAAUGUUCUUUCAUACUUAUGUAGUUUUAUAAGUUUCAAUAGCAAAUUUUUGUUUCAAUCAGCCUGUAGUGUCUUCAAUCACAGUGGCUCACUCUCAUUAAAACUAAUAAUUUGUUAGUCAACACUGUGAAACAAAAAUAAACAUUAAAAAAAAUCUAAAUAAAAUUGAAACUUCAAGUGAUCUUGGAGAUAAGUUUAUAACGCUUGUUUUUUUCUGAAGUAGUGAAGAUUAAACAUAACAAAGACUAUUGGAUGUGCUCUAUUUCCCACCCCCUGACAAAUUGAUCCAGUGUUUUCAAAUCUGAUAAUCAACCAUCUUCUCAUUUUUUUUCAAUUCUUCAUUCAUUAUUUUGAUCUAACUUGCUUUUAGCUACCUAAAAUUCAAAUAUUCCCUGCCUCCAUAUCAAUUUCAUAAUGCUUAUAUGACUUUCUCAAACCAGGAAGAGGUUAUGGUGUGCUAAGGAAUUGAACCCUCAGUCCUUGGUGGCAGGGAGCCACCUAAAAUGUCAGAACCUUAGGGCAGAUUCUAGUCUUGAAAAGCAUUACCCUUGUGGGACACAUAAUUUUGAUAUUUUCCUAAGAAAAUAAAGAGUGUCUUGCCAUGAAAAAAGCUAUUAAGAUCUGUGCUAUAUAAGCACCCUACUACUAAUGGAAAAUCAACUGCCUGUCAUACAUGAUUGUUUGGAUUUCUUUUUCUUUUUUGGACAUUGACAUUUUUUAGCAUGGUGUUAUCUAGGUUAAGACUGAUUUGCCUAUUCGUGAAUGUGAGUGAGAGGAAAAGCUGGAAUGGCACCUCAUCCUGAUGACAACUGCUCUUGAUAAUCAGAAAUGAAAACAAAUAAAAUAAUUUUUACAUCAUUUUAACCAUUUGGCGUCAGUGUUAAUGGAUUAUUUUAAUGUUUAAGCAAUUAACUCUUUAAGAUAAAAACUGGUACAGUAAUUUAAUUUGAUUUUUCUUAGUUUUUCAUAAUCUAUUCUGAGUCAUGGGAAGAAUUAGGUAAGAGAAAACCUUUGUUUGAAAGUGAAAAAAGUUACCCAGGCAACCUGUAUAUGUUUCCAGUGUGCUGCUUAAUCAUCUUUAACAAUAAUCACUGUCAUCAGUUAUCACAGAAAGAUGACUACAGAACACUCUGCACUAUUAUCAUUCCAUCAUUUUUCUGCAGAUGAAUUUGGUACAAAAGAUUUAUUGUAUACAGUCAUGAGGAUUAUGACAUCAAGCUUAAAUAUUAAGAGGCAGGACUUUUUUAAUAUAGAAAAUCAUGAAUUUUCUUUUUACAUCCCUCAUUUACUUAGUUUACUGAUUUGACAAAGGCCUGUGUUUUAACAGUUAAUAAAUGUUUCACAGAGUGUUUUAAAUAAUGUAGGCUUGGUAUUUGAAUACAGUUUAUAGCUUCCCCAGUUUCAUUUUACUGGUAGCGUGUGGUGGGAAGGGAAGCCAAGUCAUUGUGUUUUGUAAAAUAAUCAUCUCAAUAAAGUUUUGUCAAAAUUUCAGAAGGUUAAAUUUAUAAUGUGGUUAUUUAACUGCUUAGUAUAUCCAGAUCUAUAUCUAUUCAUAUCUAAAUCUGUAUACAUACAUAUAUAUAUUUUCAAAUAUGUUCCAUUAUUUUACAUUUUAUGUUCUUUGAAAGUUGUUUAAUAUCCAUCAUUUUUUAAGAGUUGGAAUAAUCUUAAUUUUUUUUUUGAUGAUUUACCCCAGAAUAUUCAGAAAUGUAUACAUUGAUACUAAUUUUAUGUCCAGGAAAGUAAAUGUCACGCUGCAAAUGUUAAACCUCUCGUACCUGCUUUAUGAUACGUGGUAGUGACCUUGCUUUAUCAGAGCUGUUUUUAAUGAUGUUACACUAGAAUGUUUUCUUUUCAGCUGAUGAUUGAGAAGCUAAUAAAAAAAAAUGGUGCCAGGUAUCACAACAGUAACAGAACUUUGCUGUUUUCUCGGGUUUUGUUUUGUUUUUGUUUUUUUUUACUUUCCCCUCUUUUUUAAAUGGAGUGUGCUGGGUGUGUCUAUGAUUCUGUUCAUAUGACUGCAGAACCUGGAAACGCUGUUGCUGCUGCUGAUGCAGAACAUACUGCUAUUAUUGGUCUUUUUAUAUAAAUAUAAAUAUAUAUAUAUAUAUAUAUAUAUAUAUAUACACACACACACACACACACACACAUAUAUAGAUAAUUUGAAUUUUUGGAAAGUUUAGCUGUGCUGUCAACUUUGGAAAAGUAUCCCAGUUUACCGUGUUGAGUUGGCAUUGUACAGAAAUUAACAGCCAUAUUGGUCUAGAAAUGUUAAACUUAAUUUUUUUCCAUUUGUACAGGGGUAACUUACACACUGUAUUAAAUAUGUAAGGUCUUAUCUACGUGGGUUUGAUUACAGAAACUAAUAAAGUAUUCUCUAAAUAAUGAAAAAAAAAAGUAAAUGUCAACAAUAUUAUUUCCCCAAAAAACACUGCUCAUUUUAGUUGUCUAAUUUUAAUUAAUGGAGACAUUAAUUGCAGUGAUCAAUAUGUAUGCUAUUAUUGUUUUCUAACAUUUAUUGAAGAAUCCUGAUGCUGACUCAGUAGUUUAAAAAUUAUUUUUUGUUGCAGGAUUUUUAUUUUUAGUUGUUUUGGAUCUAACCUUGUGUAAAAGCACACUAAUGUUAAACUCCUUGAUCUGUAUUUUUAAAACAGUUAUUUUCAAUUGUGAAAUAACAUUCCUGUAAUCUUAUGUUGAGCCAGGUUUUUAAUGCUCUUAUAAAUAAUUUUUUCUUGAAUAUGGACACAUUUUAGGUGUGAUUUAUUUUUAUUAUUAAGUGAGUCUGAUUUUGGUUAAUUUGAUAGGAAUUGGAACUAGCAUCUUUGUCUUUUAUUGCUAAGGAGAAAGGAAGGAAAUCCUCUGUUGCACUUGAAAAUUAAAUUACAGGUCUUUAUUUUCUAUGCUAAGUAAAACCUGUUACAUUCUUAAGUGUUAAAAAACAGUACUGUUGAGUGUAGUGGAAUCAUGCUUUAUAGACUUUGCUUUUCAAAAGAUCAAAUUAUUUCAGGAUGAAAAACCCCAAUAAAAAUGAGAUGGAUACGACCUACUUUAAACCUAGCCNCACUAAUGUUAA